AUCUGUUGCGGACAGAUAAAGUGGAUGUGGCUGUCAAACCCGCCCGCCGUCAGGAUGCGCCCCUCUCCGGCGAUCACCUCGGUGCCGGGGCCGAUGAUGAUAUCGACGCCCGGUUGCGUGUCCGGAUUGCCGGCCUUGCCAAUCGCAUGGAUAAGCCCGCCUUUGAGCGCGACAUCGGCCUUGUAGAUACCCGAGUGAUCCACGAUCAGGGCAUUGGUGAUCACCAUAUCCACGGCGCCGCCUGCGCGGGUGACCUGCGAUUGGCCCAUGCCGUCGCG
rnacentral:sRNA from 1 species